GGGAAGAAGAAAAGAGGGGAAAGAAAAGGGAAAUUUAUGGAAUCCCGGAGAGUAUGCCUGUUUGAGGGUCAGUUUAAUAAAAAUCGGCGUGUCGCUUUCGUGAUGCACUGGAGGUUGGGUCUUCUUAGCUUUAGGUUAAGAGUCUUAAAAUUGAUGUCUUUUUUGCGCGCUUUUAGACGUACAUAAUUUUUUUUAUUCGUCUAUUCCGGUGUUAAAAUUGACUAGGUAACAUUAUGUUGUGUGUAUAACUU
rnacentral:misc_RNA from 1 species